rnacentral:rRNA from 1 species
GCAUAUCAAUAAGCGGAGGAAAAGAAACCAACAGGGAUUGCCUUAGUAACGGCGAGUGAAGCGGCAAAAGCUCAAAUUUGAAAUCGGCCAUCAGGUCGAGUUGUAAUUUGUAGAUUGUACUUUGAGAGCGGAUUAAAGUCUGUUGGAACACAGCGCCUUAGAGGGUGACAGCCCCGUAAAAUCUAUUCUCAUUGUAAGGUACUUUCGAAGAGUCGAGUUGUUUGGGAAUGCAGCUCUAAGUGGGAGGUAAAUUCCUUCUAAAGCUAAAUAUUGACGAGAGACCGAUAGCGAACAAGUACUGUGAAGGAAAGAUGAAAAGCACUUUGAAAAGAGAGUGAAAAAGUACGUGAAAUUGUUAAAAGGGAAGGGUAUUGAAUCAGACGUGGUGCUGUUGUUCAACUUUGUUUCGGCAUGGUGUACUCAGCAGUACUAGGCCAAGGUGGGGUGUUUGGGAGUGAAAAAGGAAUAGGAACGUAGCUCUUCGGAGUGUUAUAACCUUAUUUUCAUAGCUCCUCAGGCGCCUCAGGACUGCGCUCGGCAAGGACUUUGGCAUAAUGAUUCUAUACCGCCCGUCUUGAAACACGGACC